rnacentral:lncRNA from 1 species
AGGCCGCCGCGGCGGCGCCCGCCCGCGCCUCCAUCCGGGUCCUGGCGCGGUGCUCUCCCGGCAGCGACGGGCGCGAGGGCCGGGGCAUUCCCACGGCCGCGACGGCCCUCUCCGCGAGCGCGAGGUGGGUAUGGCGGACGCGGCAGCGAGCGCGGGUCCGUCGCCAUUUUAUUUCGCGGAGACUCGCGGCAGCGGGUGGGCAGAAUGGGAGAGCCGUGCGCCGGCCCGCGCCUGUCCGGCUAACGCGGGCUGGGACUGGUGGGGCGGCCUGCCCCCUCCAGCGGGCGGGUGGCCCCGGGGGGCCGGCGGGCUGCUAGCGGAAGUCGCGGGCGCUCGGGGCACGGGGGAGGGGUGCCGCGUGGCCGCCGCGGGGCCGGCUCCAACCCCCUCCGCUUCCCGCCCAGCUCCUCACCGACAGGGCGGGGGAGGGGGGGUCAUUCUUCACAUUCCUUACCCCGCCCUUCCCCCCGCUUCAAUCAAACUUGGGGCGGGCGGAAGGCCCGCCUUCCGGCCGGCGCCUGUUGGCCGGCGCCGCCUCUGACUGUGGCGUGACUGGUUGUAGGCGCCGCCAGGUGCCUCUGACGUCACUUCCGCUAUCAAGUUUGUGGGCCGGGGAGACCUUGGCCUUGGGGGUUGGGAUGAAGGAGGGAAGGUACGGGCGGGGAGGGCGGGAGAGUCGUGGCUGGCUGCAUGCCCCUGCUCCCCGCGGCCAAGUGCAGCCUCCCUUCCUGAAGCAGCUGCUGCGGCUGGAGGUCCGCUGCGGCAGCCGUCCUUGGCGAGGGGGAGGGGAACGCGGGAGCGGGAGGAAAUCGUAUCCCGGGGGACGGGGCUUGGAGAUUUGCGACUCGGUGUCACCGGAAACAGCGCUGGCCUUUUGAGUCGACGCUGCAAACUCUUGGAACCGAGUGCCUCUCAGAAGGCUUGCUAAUAAACUUCCCGGGCGGGCUCUAGUGUGAGGAAUGUGGUAACCUGUAUGUCCUUGGCCAGUAAUGCCCUUCGGUCUUUCAACUUUUUACAGUAGAUUCUGUGUCAGAGGUAAUGGUAUGUAUUCUUCAACUUACCGGUUUUUAAAAAAUUGACUAACGAGAGGGCGGGCAGACAGGAAAAAGGCAGGGAAGACAGUGAAUGUUAAAAUUUUGAGGUAAAUCAGGAGACUGGUUGAGUUUUGCUUUUUAACUUCAUUGAUAAUACUGCUUUCUUGGCAUACAGUUCCUAAAGUUAAAGCAUCAUGUGGCAUUCCUUUGCAUUUAUUUCUGUUGGCCUGAAGUAUAAGAACAUUGAAUGUCAAAUUCCAAAUUUAUGUGUAGUUUAGGAAAUAAUUGUUUAUAUCCAGAAUUCUUUUGGUGUUUGGCGGGGUCUGGUUUUAUUUACUGUAUAUUCGGGAAGUAUGUGUAGUUAGGGAAGUAAAAACUUGGAAGUUACUUUGGGUUUUGUGAGAAUGUUUGAUUCAUUAUACAUAUUUGUUAAAAGUUUACUUUGAAACUUCAACUUUGAGAAUAGACAAAUUUCUUGACGUCCUGUAAAUUCAGUGGUAUUAUAUAGCAUUUUAAAAUUUAUCACUUAGGUGCAAUUACAGUGUGAGGGGAAAAGUUAACUUUUUUGAAUAGUUACAUUGCAGUGACAGCAAGAGAGUAUUUUUAUGUGUAGACAGGCUGUGGGUUCCCCUCACUUAAAUUGAAGCUCUGUUGAACUUGAGACACUUAAGAAUCUUGCAAGUGUGAAAAGUGGAGUGAAACAAAACCAUUUCUAAAACGAAAAUGUGUAACUGCGUUCAGUUUUACACAGUGAAGAAAUAAGUAUUAAACAAGUUAGUCUCAAACGUUUAUAUCUUAAGGUCAUUUUAUUCCUGUUAUCAUUAACUAGACAUAUCUUGGUUUAGAGAGCAGCACACAAGACAUUGUGUACUUUUAAUAGCUAAGAUAGUAUAAUAACUACUCAUAUGGGAAUUACCGAGUGUUAAGAGCGCCAAACUAGUGUUUCAAACUGUAGGUCCUGAGUUAUAGGGUCAUGAAGUCACUUUAGUGGGUGGUGAUCCGAAUUUUUUAAAAAGUAGAAAAUAUUCCAUUGAAUACAAAAUAGCGUGUUGAUUCAGCUCGACACAUGUGUAUUCCUGUAAAAUAAUCCUGUGAAGCUGAGUGUCAAAAGUUGAAAAACAACUUCUGUAGGGUGUUUUUCUCGUUUAUAGCAUUGUGUAAAGUAUUAUAGUUUAAUAUUUUUUAACGAGUAUUAAAUGGGCUGUUUAUAUUUGGUGGAACAUGAGCCACCUACUUUAGUUUCACAAGUUGGGAAGUAAAUUUGCCAUCCAGGACCAGUAUGCGUUUUAAUCAUAGUAUUUUUAAUAGCCUGUGAAGCUUUUCUUUAGACCAUAAGAGGUCUUUUCCAUCCCAUAAUAUUUAUUGCCAAUUAUUUAUCCAUGUCUAGAUGAGACUAGAAGAAUCCGAAUCCCCAGUAAUGAGUUGUCAGCAUUGCUUAAUGUGACCUCAGGACUGAUCAUCAUAUGCUUUUUGCCUGUGUAGGUGUUCUAAGCGUUGUAUAAUCACUUAAGAAUGGACUUCAUUAAAUAGACAAAAUAUGAGAGCCAUUACACUAUUUUUGGUAUUAAGUCUUUGAAAUCCAGACUGUUUUACACUUGCAACACAUACACUUGGGGCUAAUCACAUUUCAGGUGCUCAGUAGCAACAUGUGACUAACAGCUACCAAAUGAACAGUGCAGUUCUAGUGCACUGUUUUUAAAAAAAUUAGAUUUUUUUUUAAAAUUAGAUUUCUCUAGCUGAAUAGUUGUAGUUUCAGAUAAACAGCCAAAAAUGUUCUGUCUCUCCACAGCUUCAUCUCAAUUGUGAAGAAAUUGCAUUAGGUGAUUUUUUUUUUUUUUUUUUUUUAAAUAAUAGAAACAACGUCUCACUAUGUUGCCCAGGCUGGUCUCCAACUCCUGAGCUCAAGUGAUCCUUCUUCCUCAGCCUCCCAAAGUGCUAAGAUUACAGGUGUGAGCCACCGGGUUCCUGGCCGAAUCAGGUGAUUUCUUAGGCCCUUUCUAAAUACAAGGUUUAAGUGUUUUGAGGCAGCCGACAGCUAUACCUUUAAGUCUCUUGCUUCUCUAAGAAUAAGACAUUUUGGAUCAUUUGUUCUACCAUAACGUAAUGAAUACAAGUUGGGAGCAUUUUGCUCUUCUGUUAAGCACAGUUGGCCUUCCUGUCCAAGGAUUUUUGCAUCCUUGAAUUCAACUAACCUCAAAUGGAAAAUAUUUGGGGGAAAAAAAGUAUGUACAACAAAAAUAAUAUGAUCAAAAAUAAUACAGUAUAACGACUAUUUACAUAACUUUUACAUUGUAUUAGGUAUUGUAAGUAAUCUAUGUAGGAGGAUGUGUGUAGGUUACAUGCAAAUAUGACACCACAUUUUAUAAGGGACUUGAGCAUCUGAGGAUUUUCCUCUGGGAGAAGGAGGUAUCCUGGAGGCAAUCCCCUGAGGAUACUUUUCUACUUUGUGUGAAUUUUUCAUUAACAGGAAGUUACAGUACUUUUCUGGUCACCUGAGAAACCCACCCCAUAUUUUUAUUAGCCAAAUAUAUAAUUCUCGAAUGCUUAGAAUUCAUUUCUUAAUGAUUUCACUGUUGUGCAGUAUAGACUGUGAAUUGCCUACUAAGGAUACAGUUAAUUAUAGUAAACUGUGGAAUCUAGAUUAAAUAAUUACACCCUACUUUUUUUCUUGGCUUGUGGAUGUGUAGACUACAUAGUGGUUUUUUCAACCCAGGAACAUAACAGUAUAAUGGAGGAUAGGAAGGCAGAAGAUGUUUAAAGGGUUGAGAAAUAAUGGUAUAUGUAUAAUGGUCAGUAAGCAGAACAAGCCAGCCAAGUUGGAUAUUCUUCAAGACUAUCUUAAGUGUCUGCUAUGUGUCUAAGUGAAAGGAAAUAAGCAAUAGUCCUUUUGGGAAACCUGACCUAGUACUUAGCUAUUUCAGACUUAAUGUGAUGUUUGAUAGAGUAGGAAAUAAGAUCUUAAAUUAGAAUUAGGUUAAAUUGCUUUAGAGAAACUUAUUUAUAAAUGUAAAGAAUUUAUUAUCUCAUGUGUUGCACAUGCUCUAUCGAAGGGAGCAAAAUACUAUUGGAGAGUUUGCUUAUUAAUGUAAUACUCAGCCUGCAUCAUUGUCGGAUAAUUUUGUUGAUAAUUCAACUAUUUGAGAUUGAAAGAAAUCUGUUAAAGUAGCCAGUGUUGUAAUUUUGAUCUGUGUUUGAUUACAGCGUAUGAAACAAAAAUGAGACUGGAGGAAAUAGUUUACUUGUGAACUUUUUGAGCUACUUUGUUUUAGGAGUAUUUAAAUUAAUGUAAAAGUGUAGGGAAAUGUCUUAGCUCAGAAAAUUUAAACUUACUAGAUAUUAAGUGCUUAAAAGGUAGAGUAUGCUUGCAUUUCAACUAAAGUUUAGAGUGUUUUAGGAAAUUAGAGGCUAUUUUAAAAAAUAUUUUGAAGUUAGGAGUGUGUUCCUAAGUGUUUUCACCAUAAGAAAAUAAGUCUGUGGGGAUAGUACAUAUGUUAAUUAACUUGAUUUAGCUAUAAUAUAAACCUAUUUUAUGUACACCAUAAAAAUAACAAUUUUUAUGUCAAUUUGAAACAAAUUCAUUACAAAAAUGAAAUUAGGAAUGUGAAUGUUAAUAAGUUAUGAAAACUUACUUGAUGUAAAUGUAGAUAUAGACAAGUCUAUAACUAAUAGAUUUGCCUGCUUUGUAGCAUGCUUUAAAUUGAUAAUAUUUUUAACUAUCACAAGUAUAUCUGGAAAGGUAAAAUUCCUGUUAGGAUAGUUUGUCAAAUUAAUUUAUUAAGUACAGUUGCCAUUUGUUGAGUUAAUUUCUCAGUCAUUCAAUAUCUUUGCAUGUAUCCCAGUCCUGACAGCAACCCCAUGAGGUGUGGCUGUUACAGUUCCCCCAAAUGGCGAUGAGAGAACACAGCCACUAAGUAGCUGCUUGGCUGCUUGACCCUGAAACCAUUGCCCUUAACCAUUUUCCUGUACUGGUAUGCUGAGCUGAAUGAAAUGAAGAUACAUUUUGUGUAAGUUGAAUUUUGACUUUUAGUUGCCAUAAAUUAAUUAAAUAAUUUAUUAUUGUAUAUAUUUUUUUGAGACAGUUUUGCUCUUCUUGCCCAGGCUGGAGUGUAAUGGUGCGAUCUUGGUCUACUGCAACCUCUGCCUCCUGGGUUCAAGCGAUUCUCCUACCUCAGCCUCCUGAGUAGCUGGGAUUACAGGUGCCUACCACCAUGCCUGGCAAAUUUUUGUAUUUUUAGUAGAGAUGGGUUUUCACCAUGUUGGCCAGGCUGGUCCCAAACUCCUGACCUCAGGUGAUCCACUCGCCUGGGCCUCUCAAAGUGCUGGGAUUAUAGGUGUGAGCCACUGUGCCUGGCCAGUUGCCGUAAUAUAUAUAUAUUUUUUUUGAGACCGCAUCUUGCUCUGUUGCCCAGGCUGGAGUGCGGUGGCAUGAUCUCGGCUCCAUGCAACCUCCACCUUCCAGGUUCAAGCGAUUCUUCUGCCUCAGCCUCCCGAGUAGCUAGGACUACAGGCGCAUGCCACCAUGCCUGGCUGAUUUUUUUAUUUUUAGUAGAGAGGGGGUUUCACCAUAUUGGCCAGGCUGGUUUCGAACUCCUGACCUCAUGAUUUGCCCUCCUGGGCCUCCCAAAGUGCUGGGAUUACAGGCAUGAGCCACUGUGCCUGGCCAUUUGCCAUAACUUUUAAUGAGAGGGUAGUUCCAGCUACAGAUUGAGGUAGUAUGUGAAUAAGGAUAGAAAGUGGAUAUAAAAGUAUUUUUGUUACUUUUUAAGAAAGAAUUAUCAGAAGGCUCAAAUUCUGAUAAUUUUAGCUAAUAGUAUUCUACCUAAGAAGUAAACAAAGGCCCAGAAAUUAGAUGAUAUGUCCAAGGACAUAGUAAAUGGGGAGCCAGCAUUAACUGUAGACAGAAAAACUUCAAGUCCUAAAUGUAUACUAGCUAUCAACCCACUCUUUCCCAGUACGCAAGCAUUACAUAGUUGUGAUUAGUUAGUUAGGGCUUUUAAUUAACUUCCAAAUGAAUAUUUCCAUGGGUUCUUGUAAUCCAUAAAUUCAUGGAUUAUGUUCAGUGUUUAUGAGAGCUGGCCCUAACUGAACAUUGCUCGGCUGUUUGGUUUUAGUUUCCACCAUUUGCUGUAAUCAGUGUUUUCUAAACUGCAGGCUGGGAACCAUUAGAUUAUAAAAUCAGUUCAUGUAUAUAAUAAAAUAACAUAUUAGAGUAAGUAUUGAUUUGUGAACAAUAUUAUUUAUUGGAUUACUUAUAUACAUAUACUUUUCAAAAAAUUGAGGGUCAUGUUAAUAGCACUUGGUAUGUAAAUUACCAGAAUGCUUUCUAGCAAUAUGGUAUUUAUUUACAUAGCUGGAUUGAGAAAGAAUAAUACAAAGUAAGCAUGUGACACCAAGGUUGGAAAAAAAAUGUGUUUUUGAAUGUUUGAUGAGGAUUCAAACAUGUUUUAAAUGAGAAAAUCGGUAGGAGGUUGAGGAUUGUAGUAGAAGUACCAGAUGCUUUUUCUUUUAGCUGUUUUUUUUCGUUGCUGUUGUUUGGUUGGUUUUGGUUUUGGUUUUUUUUUUUUUUUUUUUGGCUGUUAUUGUUUUAAAAGUAAGGACUAGGCCGGGUGCAGUGGCUCACGCCUGUAAUCCCAGCACUUUGAGAGGCGAAGGCAGGCAGGCAGGCAGAUCACCUGAGGUCAGGAGUUCGAGACCAGCCUGGCCAACAUGGUGAAACCCCGUCUUUACUAAAAAUACAAAAAUGAGCUGGGCGUGAUGGUGGAUGCCUAUAAUCCCAGCUACUUGGGGGGCUGAGGCAGGAAAAUCGCUUGAACCCAGGAGGCGGAGGUUUCAGGAGCCAAGAUCACACGGUUGCACUCCAGCCUGGGUGACAGAGCAAGACCUCGUCUCUAAAAAAAUAAAAGUAAGGACAGUGCUGAUUCAUGGGAAAUAUUUUGGCUUAUAAAGGGCCUGACGUUAGGGACAAGUGUGUCUGUGAGUUCCUAGUUUGCAUAACCUGGCCUUGUAGAAUUGAAAUGGUCUCAAAUGUAGUAUAGUUUAGUGAUGCAGUACUGUCUCUAAUUUGGGGCAAGUUAUUAAGCUUCUUACCACCAGUUUUCAUCUAGAGAUGAUGAAGUAGUUGGACCUUACAUAUUUUGGAUAUAUGGUAUUAAUAAAUCUUUCCCUUUUUGUUACAGACGUGUUGAUACUGCAGCUAGGAAAGCUGAGGGACUUCGGCUAAAUUUCUUUUGCAAGAUUUCAAUGGCAGAGAAUUAGUAGGGCCAGGAUUUGAACCCUGGUUUUUAUUGACUCCAAAUGAGUAAUGCUGUGAACAUUCAAAUACACGUUUUUUCAAUUCUCUUGCCCUUUUUUUUUGCGGGGAGGGGCAGGGUCUCACUCUCUUGCUCUGACUGGAGUGCAGUGGUGUGGUCAUAGCUUACUGCAACCUUUAACUCCUAGGCUCAAGCAAUCUUCCUGCCUCAACCUCCUGAGUAACUCAGCUGGGACCAUAAGCCUGCACCACCACACCCAGCCAUGUUCAGUUCUCUAGAGUAUAUACCUAGAAAUGGAAUUGCUGGGUCAUAUGGUGAACUGUUUUUUACUCAUCACUAACCAGUUCUGACACCAACAAUCAAUUCUUCAACUCGACACCAACAGAGUGUCCUACAAUUAAAUUUAAUUCUGAAACUACCUGAAGUUAGUACAAACUUCACAGGUUGAGGGCUCAAACACGUAAGACUGCCCCCGCUUCAGAUGCAGGUUUCUACCUGAAUUUUUAACCAACCAGCUAUAAAUUAGGGGGUUUCACAACCUCUUCCACUGGGUCUAUAAUUUGCUAGGAUGGCUUACAGAACACAGGAAGACACUCAUUAUCACUGGUUUAUUAUAAAGGAUUUAAAUGAAUAGCCAGAUGAAGAGGUCCUUAAGCUGAAGUCCAGGAGGGUUCCUAGCACAGGAGCUUCUGUAUCUAUGGAGUUAGGGUUACACCAGCCUCCUGGCAUGAAGAUGUGUUUUUCAACUCAGAGCUGUCCAAACCCUGACACUUAAGGGGUUUUUAUGGAGGUUUCAUACUUAGGCAUGAUUGAUUACAUUAUUGGCCUUUGAUGAUUGGCUUACUCUCUGUCCUCUCUGCUUUACCUGGAGGUUGAGGGGGUGAGGCUGAAAGUUCCACCCCUCUAAUCACACCUUGGUCUUUCUGGUGACUAUCCCCCUCCUGAAACUACAGGAGCCACCAAUCGACUCAGUAGCAUUAAACAGACAUUCAUCACUUAGGAAAUUCUGAGGGUUUUAGGAGCUGUAUGCCAGCCAGGAUCUUCAAAUGGAGACAAAGACGAAAUACGUGUUUCUGAUUCCACUUAACAACUGUUUGACUUGUCUACAAGUUUUGUUCUCCAAAGCAGCUGCACCAUUUCACAUUCCCACCAGCAAUCUAAGGGUUCCAAUUUUCUCCGCAUCCUUGUCAACACUUUUAUUAAUCUUAUUAGCCAUCCUAAUGAAUAAUGUAUCUUUUCAUGUGCCUGUUGGCCAUUUGUGCUUAUGAGUCAUAUCUUUGGUGAAAUAUCUAUUAAAAUAUUUUACCAUUAAAUUAGGUUGUUUUAAGUUACUUUAAUGUGUGUUUUGCACACCAGUUUACAAAGAAUGCAGAUCCAUUUUUUUUGCAUGUGGCUAUACAGCCGUCAGCAUUAUUUGUUGAAAAAACGAUUCCCAGUUGAAUUGUCUUGUCAUGGUUGAAAAUCAGUUGACCCAUGUAUGGGUUUAUUUCUAGACUUUAAAUUCUAUUAUAUUGAGCCGUAUGUUUUUUAUUACGUUUUGUAAUUUUAAAAAUUAGUGCUUUUGGUUACUAAAUCACUACAAAAUAAAUUUAGUCCCUAUCUUAAAAGAUAAUCUUCGUAGUAGCUACCUCCUAAAUAUGAAGUCUGUAAAUUAAAGGGUAAUAAUACAGUUUAGAUUACUUGGGUUUAUUAAAGAUUUUGGACUCUGCCUUCAAUCCACAUAUUACCUUUCUAUCUAAAGGAAAGGAUCCUGACCCUGAAUCAGAUCCAGGUGAUUAUCUUUGAUUUAGUCCUAAUAAGACCACUUAGUGUUUGCUCGCAUGGGAUAAAUGAGUAGGUUCCUUUAAAAAUUAGUUUCUAUUUGUGUGUGUUUUUUAUAUUAUCUCGUUGUAUGUUAGUGCAUUUGGAUUAUGCAUGAUGUACAGGACUUUUGGGUUUUGAAGUCAUUGGAUUUUUAAUUAGAGGCUGUCAUGUUUUUCUGUAAUGAUUUUUUGUUGUUUCUUGAAGGAUAAGUUAUUUCAUGCAUUUUCAUUUGUAGGAACUGUAAGAAAACCAGCAGUUAAUAAUAGUAAAAGGUGGUGGUAAGAGGGUGAUUUCUGAAUCUUGUAAAUACAUGGUUUUAGGAGCGGAUUCAGAUAACCAAGCAUUUAAAAUACUAUUAAUGAAAUACAGGAAAUGAAACCACAGCAUAGAUUAUGCAUGUAGCCAAAAUGUUCAGUUAAACUUCAUUUUCAACGUAAGUGAAUGAAAAUGGUCUAAUACUAUUUUUCUUAUCACUCACACAGGAAACCAGGAUUACCGAGGAGGAAAAAAAGCCUUCCUGUGGUGCUCAACUGUGAUUCCUUUUCACCAUUCACCCUGGAUGUUCUCUUCACUGUGGGAUGAGGUAGUAGGUUGUAUAGUUUUAGGGUCACACCCACCACUGGGAGAUAACUAUACAAUCUACUGUCUUUCCUAACGUGAUAGAAAAGUCUGCAUCCAGGCGGUCUGAUAGAAAGUCAGUUAACUAAUUGUACAAUAUUUAAGAUUAACUUGUCUUAAAGAGAUGUAGUGCAGCAUUUGUUUAUGGCCUGGAAAUAAAUUAAUUUAGAGAUAAAGUCUGUAGCAAGUACACUGGAUGGGGGUGGGGAAACCUUUUGCUUCUUGUCUUAUUUCUCUGUGUCAGAAUAAAUGUAUUUUUUUAUUUUGAUUUAUGCUGAUAAUUUUAUGUUGAAAUUUUCUUUCGAAAGAGAUUGUACUUUCCAUUCCAGAAGAAAACAUUGCUCUAUCAGAGUGAGGUAGUAGAUUGUAUAGUUGUGGGGUAGUGAUUUUACCCUGUUCAGGAGAUAACUAUACAAUCUAUUGCCUUCCCUGAGGAGUAGACUUGCUGCAUUAUUUUCUUUUUAUUUAGAUGAUAUUAAAACUCAGAAGAAUUAAUUUUGACAUUUUGUAUUUACAGUUUAUCAGUUAAUUUUCUCUGUUCAAGUAGUACAGUAGGCACAGAUUAACAUUUAAAUUUUUCACAUAUGGUAUAUUUCAGAAAUUUGAAGUUAAGCAAAAAUUUUAAUGAGUAGAGAAAGUAAGUAGCCUUCAGGAAAUCUUCAUAGAGGACCAGGCCCUUUUGGAAUUGUGAAUAGGUUUAUUGCCUUACAUCCUGGUACACAUGUCCAAGGUCAGGUCCUGGGUGGUAAAGGUAAAUACAAAUUGGAAGGGCACUGUGUGAGCCAAAAUGAGUCAGAUUAGUCAUGAUUCAUUUCCAGUUUGGGUUUUGGGUGGUCUUGGAGAAUGUUGUAAGCACUGCUUCAUUGAUAGGUUGAUUGAGCCAGACUUUACUCAGCAGCCUGGAAAAGGAGAGAUGGGCUCUGGGUUCUACCUUUGCUCACUGGUAAGUUGCUAAGAUUUCAGCUUUGCCCUCAAACCCUGAAGUAGUCCUUCAUUCACACAGUGGGAUCACUCGAAAAUGUCAGAUGGGGAAGUCCAUAGGUUGUUACUUUAAAGAAAAUAGAAAAAAUGCUGGAAAAGGUUUCUUCAAUUUUAAUACCCAUGAAGGCCCAUGUUUUAGCUUUCCUCCGAUGGGCAAACCAUACACUAACUUGGGCCUUGUAAUCAACAAGCAAGGCUAAAAGCUCUCUAAGUGCUUGCUGUUUAAACUAUUUUGUGUUGGAAGAAGAGUUGGAAAAGAGGCAGUGUGGAGGUGAGGGAGAAGUUCCCUCCCUCCAAUCAUUUCCAAUAAAUGGAAAUUUAAGGAGAAAUUUGUGUUUAUCCUUAAUAUCUAAGAUAAUCACUGUGCAGUGCCAUUGGUACUUUUCAUGAGAGUAGAAACAUCAAACUUCCUUGGAUGGGCCCAACCCAGGUGACUUAACUCUGGACCAAAUGUAUGCUUUUUGUUUUAUCCACUGUGGACAGCUGCAUAGAUAAUUGGUCUUUGUUCUAAACUGCACAUAAAAACAUGGGAGAAAAUGACAUUUGUUGCCUUUUGAUGUGCCAAAGAAGAGUGGGAAUGUUCUAAGAAUUCUUUUUGGCUUAAUCUUUGUUGAAUUGAAAAUAUGUAUAACUCUUCUGCUGAAAGUGUAGCAAGUACAGUCAUGAAAUUUUGUGGUCUUCCUGACAUGUUCUUCCAGCAUAACGUUGCCACCUUCAGUUGGAAACGUAUCCUUAUCUAAUAAUUAAGCCCUGGAGAAAAAUUAAUUUAUAUAUUUUAUUAAUUACAUAAGGACAUUGUUAUUAGCUAAGCAGAGUAAGUAAAUCGAAAUAAAACUUUAAAAAUGCCUUUAUGGAGAGAAUGACUAUCUCUGAAAGCUUGUUUUUAAUGAUGAUAAAAUUCAUGAUCAGAAUUUGUUUCUGUUUGCUUUAAUUCAGGGGUCAAAAACUGAAAUACCAUCAGAGGCCCAGGAGGGGCUAGUUGUAACUGGCAAAUAUAGUAAAUUAAUUUGCUCUGGUUGAUAGGUAGCAAGCAGGGUUUAUAUACAUUGUCACCUACUUUUCCAGUUAACAGGAGAGACUGGAGAUUUUAUGAAAUUUGAUAUUUAAAUGUUGGUAACUGGGUUGGGCACCAUGGCUCACACCUCUAAUCCCAGCACUUCGGGAGGCUGAGGCGGGUGGAGCACCUGAGGUCAGGAGUUAAAGACCAUCCUGACCAGCCUGGUGAAACACAGUCUCUAAUAAAGAUACAAAAAUUAGGCCGGGUGUGGUGGCUCAUGCCGGUAAUCCCAGCACUUUGGGGAGGCCAAGGUGGGCGGAUCACCUGAGUCAGGAGUUUGAGACCAGCCUGCCUAAAUGGUGAAAACCUGUUUCUACUAAAAAUACAAAAAAGUAGCUGGGCGUGGUGGUGGGCGCCUGUAAUCCCAGCUACUCUGGGGGCUGAGGCAGGAGAAUCACUUAAACCCAGGAGGCAGAGGUUGCAGUGAGCCGAGAUCACACCACUGUACUCCAGCCUGGGUGACAGAGCGAGACUGUCCAAAAAAAAAAUUGAUAAUUAAAUGUUAAAAGUCAGCGACUCCAGUAAUACGUGGUGGGCUGAGUAUUAGACUACUGGCUUACAUCCUCUGAUGUCAUUACUUUCUUGUUCGUUUGUGACUUGAGGUUGGAUUUUAAGCAAAUGUAUUUGUGGCUUUUUACCAAGGUCAUAUGGCCAGAUAACUUUUCAAAAGCAUUAGUUAAAGAAUUCUGAUUAGUUUGAAUUAGAAACAAAACUCAAAGAACAUGACCUAAUUUAACAGGUUAAUUUGAAGUGCAUCUGCCAAGUAGAAGACCAGCAAGAAAAAAAAAAUGGGUUCCUAGGAAGAGGUAGUAGGUUGCAUAGUUUUAGGGCAGGGAUUUUGCCCACAAGGAGGUAACUAUACGACCUGCUGCCUUUCUUAGGGCCUUAUUAUUCACCGAUAACCUGUUUCCUUGCUACUUUGCUUUGGUGUAAGCAGAGUUCUUUCUGUAGGUUUUUUCAAAUGAAAACAUUGCAAGAAUAUCAAAGAGAGCAGUGUUUGCGUUAGUGAUUAUAAACUGCAGCAUGGUGCUGACAUUGAUAACUGAAAGUCAACUAAUGAGAAUUUGAGACUUCUGAAGUACACUUAGUUGCUAGUGUCUCCCUUUUGGUGUCACUGGAAAGUUUAGAAAGCAUGGUUUUGUUUUUGCUCAGGUUUCUCUUUCUGUGAUGCAGAGACUCUCAGCUGUUCCUCCUCUAUGUCUACAUUAUGUCUGAAGGAAAGAAUUUAACAAAACUUGAAAUACUGCUGUUUUUCUACAAUGUUUGUAAAUAUUUAUCUUGCUGCUUUUCUAGGUUUGUCUUCUGGAUUUAAAAUUUGGGGCGGCUGGGGUGGAAUUGCAUGGUUUGGGAAUGGGUAAUUGAGCUGCUGCUCAUUAUGGUAUGUAACAGUGAUUUGUCUGUUUAAUAUGUACAAGAACUGGAAGGUCAAUAAAAUGAAAGUGGUUGUCUUGACUGGGUAAUAGUGUUACAUAUUUUGUUAAAAGUUAUACAUCUUUUCAAUAAAAACACUGCAUACUUCAAAACUAGUGCUUUUUAAGUCAUCCUUAACCCUUAUCCCCAUCCUUGCAGUAGUAGAUGCAUUUUUCAUUUGUAAUUAUUAUGAUUUGUUCUUAGUUUCAUUUUUCAUUAGCAAUAAUUUGGUGAUUGGAUGGUCAUUUACAGAUGUUUUAAUAAAGCUAACACGAGCAAUUUCCAGCUCUUCCAUUUUUGUAAACACUUGUGUGACUUUGUACAGACAAUUAACUGCUCAGGAUCACCCUCCUUUUUGUUUUGUUUUUGAGAUGGUCUCAUUCCGUCACCCAUGCUGGAGUGUAGUGAAAUGAUCACAGCUCACUGCAGCCUUGACCUCCCGGACUCAAGCUUCCUAGUAACUGGGACUACAGGUGCAUACAACCAUGCCUGGCUAAUUUUAUUUUUGUAGAGACGGUUUCACCAUAUUGCCCAGACUGGUCUUGAACUCCUGAUUAUCCUCUGGCUUUUACCUCCCAAAGUGCUGGCCAGGACAGCCUCCUUUCUUUACUUGAGUAAUUAUUUGAGUUUGCUCAGGCAGACACUACCUUGUAAAAACUCUUAUGUCUCAUUUCACUAGUCUAGUUUGAGCAUUUAUCAUUCUAGGAAUGAGACGAAUUUGUGCAUUAGCAUUCCAUCUUUUUCCAACUACUAUGAACAGUAGUAUUUUUUUUUAUUUUAUUUUAUUUUUUGAGACAAAAUCUCACUGUUUCCCAGGCUAGAGUGCAGUGGUGUGAUCUCAGCUCACUGCUGCAACCUCCACCUCCUGGGUAGAGUAGACAGGAUUUAGGUAAUUUUUUGUAUUUUUAUUAGAGACAGGGUUUCACUAUGUUGGCCAGGCUGGUCUUGAACUCCUGGCCUCAAGUGAUCCACCGGCCGUGGCCUUCCAGAGUGCUGGGAUUACAGGUGUGAACCACCCUUGCCUGAUCAUGAGCAGUAAUACAUUUAAAAGUCUCCAGGGGUGAGAAAGUUGAAAGGAAAUUCAGUGGAGUUUCCCAUCCUGCCCCUCUGCUGCCUAGCCCCUUGCUCCAGUGGAAGGAAGAAUCGUGAUCUAGGGAUGUUCUCAUACUUGGGGCUUUAAAUUUCCUUUAUGAAUUGAGAUGGUUGGGUAUGUUUUCUAAGGUACCUUACAUGGUACAGUUCUUUAAAGUUGAAGAUUUAAGUUGUGGCAAAAUUGCAUCAAUUUCAUGUGCACUGAUUUAGGCGAAGAUGCGUAGGAAAAGAGCAAGGAAAUGAGGUGUGAUAGGAUUGGGGUAAUUUCAAAAUGAGUAUUUCUGCCUGGCCUAGUGGUUCACGCCUGUAAUCACAGCACUUUGGGAGGCCAAGGCAGGCAGAUCCCCUGAGGUCAAGAGUUCGAGACCAGCCUGGCCAACAUGAUGAAACCCCAUCUUACUAAAAAAAAGUAGCUGGCAUGGUGGUGGGCUACUUGUGAGGCUGAUGUAAGGAGAACCGCUUGAACCAGGGAGGUGGAGGUUGCAGUGACCAGAGAUUACGCUAUUGCACUCCAGCUUGGACGACAGAGCAAGACUGUCUUAAAAAUGUUUCUAGUUUCACUUAUUCUAAAUUUAUGUCUAACCAUUUUUAGUGAAGUAUUUGAGUCACAUCAGCUAGCCUUUUUCCUACAGCGUUGAAGUAAUUUUCUAGGUUCCUUGCUCUCCCCCCAUUUUAUUUCCUACUUUGCUUUCUGUUGUUGGGGUCCUAUGGGGAGGGCUGGGAAAGGAGUUGGGCCCUCUUAGGACUGGUCAUCAAUCUUUGUUCUGAGCAGUGUUUUGUUUUCUGGUUGAAUGGCUGACCUGAAGGAAGCAUCAGACUCCUUGGGAUUCUGAAAUCCUAUUUCUUGAUAGAAACCCAUAACUUAUUUUAGUUUGACUUAAAAACGAUCCAUAAGUAAGCAUGCAGGGUUGGUGUAACUGCAUUGAACUGGUAACAUCAGAAACACGGGUAGAAAUGAGGUACCCCAGUGAUACGGAAGCUUUGUGACUGAUGUCCUGGAUUCUUUCUAGCUUUUCUUCCAGCCCUAACACAUGGUUUCCAUUCUCAAGGUUACCUCUGUAACAACUGACUGCUAUAACUGGCCACGUCGUUUUUCCAUUCAUGAAGAUGGAAAAAGGAAAAGGCAGAAGGGACACUUUUAUGGUUGAAUUCAUUUAGUUUUCUCAAGAAAUGCCACCUAGUGACUCCUUUACGUGUAAUCCCUUGGAACUAUCACAGACUAGACCAAGGAAUCCUGGAAAGUGGUCCUGGCAGGACUGAUUGCCAGGCUGAAUACAAUCAGGGUCCCACUAGUAAGGAGGGGAGAAAGGAAAUAACACAGAUAGUUAUCUGCAGUAAUUGGCAUUAGGAAAAAAAACUUGACAAAGACUGACAAGCUCUGUUCCACUCCUGCCAUUUAAAGAAAAACACACACACGCAUAAAAACACCAAGUGGCCUCAGAUGGGCAGCACUCCUCCUGACCCUGGGCUUCAGAAAUUUUCACUGGGAGUCUGAUGAGGCUCAGCCACAGUUGUGUGGGACUGUUCUCAAUUUCAAGCAGAGGAGCAGAGAAAGCUGGUUAGUUGCGGAGGCUUCCCACAUUACUUGGACCCUACAAUAUAUAUGACUUCUAUCACAGGACAUGGUACAGAACUGGAACAAUAAAGCAUUUUUUAAAAUUUAAUUUCUUGAGCAAUUUUAGUUUCACAGCAAAAUUGAGCAGAAAGUAUAGUGUUCACAUAUACUUCCCUGUUUAUUACGCACACACUGCCUUCCUCACUACUGAAGUCCUGACCAUAAUGGUACAUUUUAAUAAAGCAGUUUGUUUUUCCCUUUUCUUUGAAGUUGUUCCAUCAUGAGAAUUAGGCUAAAAGUCUUAGCUUACUGCCCCAUGGAAGGAAGGACAAAUAGCAAUGACCAAGCAACGUAUUUUUAGCUUUGAGGCCAAAAUUGGCUGAAAAUGACAGAAGCAGUUACUUCAGAGAAAAUGAUUUUUUGCAGUUCUGCAUAAAUUUGAAGAGGUAAACCUGGAUUGCUGAGAACAAUGAGUUAUAUGCAGUGGACUAGAGGAAGAUGCAUAUUCAACCAUGUCUUUUUUUCCAUCCAAGAAGAGUUACUAGCAAGCAGUAAGAUGAGAGGAAAUGAAACCAGUCAGACUGCUGAGUGCUGGAGAAGCGGUCCCUGUGCACACUCCGGCAUGGGCAUGGUAGGACUACCUGUAUGGAUUAAGGGGAGUCAAGGGUCAGGGGAUGGUUGAUCUGCAUUUUUUUCCCCAGGGCAUAACCUGAGACCACAAAGCUUCUAGGGAAGGGUUGUGUACAUCAUGGCCCCACAGCAGUGAGAGGCUUGAAGAAUGCUCUGGCUAAAGACACGGAGGUGCUGUGGCAGGCACUGUUACUUGCCUACCCAAAUAUCCCCUUGCUGGGAGAACCUUGAUUUUGUUGAGGUAUGGAUCUCAGGAAAGUUACCCUAGUUUUUUGUCUAGGGGUAGGCAUGUGACCAGAUUUGAUCAGUGAGAUGUAAAGACCAGUGGUAGGGAGAGGGUUUCUUUCUUUUCUUCUCCCUCCCCCGACCCACCCCAGAGUCUCGCUUUGUCACCCAGGCUGAAAUGCAGGGGCGUGGUCACGGCUCACUGCUGCCUUGACCUCCCCAACUCAAGCGGUCCUCCUACCUCAGCUUCCCACAUAACUUGGACUUUACGCGCACACCGCCAUGCCUGGCUAAUUUUUUUCUGUUUUACAGACGGAGUCUUGCUAUGUUGCCCAGGCUGGUCUUGAACUCCGGGGCUCAGACAGUCCUCCCACCUUGGGCUCCCAGAGUGCUGGGAUUACUGCUGUGAGCCACUGCACCUGCCUGCAUCAUGCUUAGGUUUGAAUGUGGUUGUGUGAUGAUCAGAGCUGCUGCAGCCAUCUUGUGACCACGAAGGGUAGGUUAGGUCAAUAAUACCAACCAAGAGUUCUGACAUUACUGAGCUGUUGAGUCAAUGCCAGCAUCUGCUCUCCUCUACACUUUGUAUUAUAUGAGAAAAAUGAACUACCUUAUAGUGAAUGGGGGUUAUGAGACUUGCAGGGAAAAGCUCUCCUCACAGGAUCCCACAUAGGGAAGUCCAGGGAAAGCCCCUAAAUGUGAGGGAAGAGGAAAGGUGCUAAGGGGCCAUCAGGAAGAAGCCUAUGGCUUAGAUAAGGAUGGUAGACAAUGGAUCUCUGACAUCUGUAGCAGGACCCUGAACGUGAGCAUGAACAUGAAGUGGUAAGAGGCUGAUGGCAAGACCACAUUUCUGAAACUGGGAUCUUACAAGUGGCAGGCAGCAAGGACCAAGCUCAAGACAGUAUGGACCAAACAGUAAGGACACCCCUUCUUAGUGCUGACAUGAGUUAAGCCCUUUGGAAAUUUAGAUCCUCUUGAAUUUGAUAAACUAACUCUCCUAAAAACUGCUUUAAAUCGAGACAGUUCUCUUAAAUGGAUGAAAUUUCAGUGUUCUGCCAUUAGUAGACAUGGGGGCUCAAGAUACUCGGCAACAAAAGUUUUUGUUACAUUUUUGCUCUCUUGAAUGGCAACUGUAAACUUUGAACCUCUGCAGUUACCCUAAUGCAGAACUUAUUAUUUAUAGACUUUUUGAUGAUUUACAAUGAAAUACUGAUAUAGAAACAGAUGUUUAAAAGAAAACUGUAUAGCUUGUCUCACUUAAGUAACGUAGCCUAAGUUUCUUAAACCCAAGAUCUCAUUUUAGCUACCUAGGUAUAUUGUCCAGAGUACUGAAUAUGAGCACAUUUCACAUGACAGGCUCUUAAAUGCAAGUGUGUGUGCGUGUAUGUGUCUGUGGUGUGUGUGUGUGUGUGUGUAGUCCUUGCAUUGCCUGGCAUCUUGUUACAGUAAUUCAUGCACAUAAGAACCAUGUCCUUGCUUUGCCUUGCCUGGUAGAGAACUAUGCAAAGCAAGAACAAGGCUCCAGUAUGAACAAGUUUGUAUUAGCAUGGUAUCAUGAAAUGUAAGAACUCCCUGUGUAUGCUGUAUGUACCCUUUCCUUCUUAAAAUAUGCCCAGCACCCUUCUAUGUCUUUGUCUUCUCAUUAGUCUUGGAAAUACUGGUCAUAGGUCCUCAUGGGGAACUAACUUCUCUAAGCUUUCAGGUUGUAUCAUCCAGCCCAUUGGCAGCUACUUAGGAAGCUUUUUAUACUCUACCCUGAAGUGUGGUGUUUUAACUAGGUCUGAAAGCAGAGGAGUGACCCAGUAGAGGGUCACUGACCAAAAUGAGAAAUGAGGUGGUUGAGAAAAUCUGAAAAGAUGCACAAGGUUUCAGGUAUAAUACAUUUGUCUAAUAUCUCCCAAGAUUGCAAAUAAGUUUCCCUAAGUAGUCUUAUGAUUAUUUUAUUAUCUUGGGCACUUCAGUAUAGGGGAAAGAAGGGCAGAGUAUGGUGAAUGGCAGAGCAGAAGAUGCCUAAAUAGUUGGGAAAAAUAAUCCUGUGACUGGAAAACUGCAUUAAAAAUAAUAUCUGGCCAGGCGCGGUGGCUCACGCCUGUAAUCCCAGCACUUUGGGAGGCUGAGGCAGACGGAUCACGAGGUCAGGAGAUCAAGACCAUCCUGGCUAACAUGGUGAAACCCCAUCUCUACUAAAAAUACAAAACAAAUUAGCCGGGCAUGGUGAUGGGUGCCUGUGGUCCCAGCUACUCGGGAGGCUAAGGCAGGAGAAUGGUGUGAACCCGGGAGGCGGAGCUUGCAGUAAGCCGAGAUCAUACCACUGCACUCCAGCCUGGGUGACAGAGUGAGACUCCAUCUCAAAAAAUAAUAAUAAUAAUAAUAUCUUGUUGAUACAUCCUUCUUUUGUGAUUGGGGGAAAUGGUGACUUAAUCCCUAAAGGAAUCAUGUAAUAUGUAGACCUUUGAAUAUGGCUUUUUUCAUUUAGCCUGUUUUUAAGGUUCAUUCUUGUUGUGAUAUAUAUAUUUUUGAAAUAGGUUCUCACUCUGUUUUCCAGGCUGGAGUGCAGCAUUGUGAUCUUGACUCACUGCAGUGUCGACCUCCUGAGCUCAACUGUUUCUUUAUAUUUCUGAGUAGUAUUUUCUUGUAUAGAUAUCAAAUCUUCUUUAUCUUCUUUUUUUUUUUUUUUUUUUUUUUUUUUAGACAGAGUCUCGCUCUGCACACCCAGGCUGGAGUGCAGUGGUGCUAUCUCGGCUCACUGUAAGCUCUGCCACCCGAGUUCACGCCAUUCUUCUGCCUCAGCCUCCCGAGUAGCUGGGACUACAGGCGUCCGCCACCACGCCCAGCUACUUUUUUGUAUUUUUAGUAGAGGCAGGGUUUCACCAUGUUAGCAGGGAUGGUCUCGAUCUCCUGACCUGGUGAUACGCCCACCUCGGCCUCCCAAAGUGCUGGGAUUACAGGCGUGAGCCACCGCACCUGGCCUUUUUUUUUUUAAUUUUAAUUUUUUUUUUUUUUAUGUUUUUGAGAUGGAGUCUCACUCUGUCUCCCAGACUGGAGUGCGGUGGCAUGAUUUUGGCUCACUGCAGCCUCCACUUUCCAGGUUCAAGCCAUUCUCCUGCCUCAGCCUCUGGAAUAGGUGGGAUUACAGGCGCUUGCCACCACGCCUGGCUAUUUUUAUGUUUUUAGUAGAAACGGGGUUUCCACAUGUUGGCCAGGCUGAGGUCAAACUCCUGACCUCAGGUGAUCCACCUGCCUUGGCCUUUCAAAGUGCUGGGAUUACAGGCGUGAGCCACCACACCGGCCUUGUUUAUCCUUUCACCAGUUGGUGGGUAUUUGGAUUCUUUUUUUCUAGCUUUGGUUCUUAUGAUUAAUGCUGCUACACAGCAUUAAUGUCCACAAUUCUUUCUGUGGACAUCUGUUUUCAGUUCUCUGGGAGAAAUACCUAGGAGUGGAAUUGCUGAGUUGCAUGGUAAAUUUAACCUUCUAGGAAACUGUCAGACCGUCAAACUAUUCAAUUGUUUCAGCACCAUUUGUUGAGAAGACUGUCUUUUUUUAGUCGAAUUGGCCUGACACCUUAAUUGAAAAUUAAUUCACUAUAUAUAGGUGGCCUUAUUGCUUGACCUCUAUUCUGUUUCAUUAAUCUAUAUAUCUAUCUUUAUGCUAGUACCACACUGUUUUGGUUACUGUGGCUUUAUAAAGUUUUGAAAUGAGUAGUAUAAGUCCUCCAGUGUUGUUCUUUUUCAAAAUUGUUUUUGCUACUCUAAGUUACAUGCAUUUCUAUGUAAACUUUACAAUCAGCCUGUAAGUUUCUUAAAAAUCUUGGAUUUUGACGGGGAUAGCUAAUUGAUAACAAUGCUGAGUUUUCCUGUCCACGAACCUGGAAUGAUCUCUCCAUUUCUUUAGAUCUAUAAUUUGAGCAGUGUUCUGGAGUUUUCAGUAUAUAAGUCUUACACUUCUUUUAUUAAAUUUAUUCCUGUUACAUUCUUUUUUUUUUUUUUUUUUUUUGAGACGGGGUCUUGUUCUUUUGCCCAGGCUGGAGUACAGUGGCUAUUCACAGGUGUGAUCAUAGUGUACUAUAACCUCGACUCCUGUGCUCAAGUGAUCCUCCUGCCCCAUCCUCCACAUAGCAGGGACUACAAGUGUUUGCCACUGUGUGCAGCUCUUUAUUGUUUUUGAUAAUAUUGUGAACAUAUUGUUUUCUUAAUUUGAUAUUCAGAUUGUUCAUUGCUAAAUACAGUUGACAUUCAUAUACUGAUCUGUGUCUUGUCACCUUAUUGAACUCAUUUAUUAGUUCUGGUAGUAUUUGGGGGGAUUGUUUAGGGUUUACUACAAUUUGGAUCAUGUCAUCUGUGAAUAAAGACAGUUUUACUAUUUCUUAUCAAUCUGGAUGCAAUUUCUCUUCCUUCUCCUUAAAAAAUUGCCUUAUUCCAUUAGUUAGAAUCUUCAUUACAUUAUUGAAUAGAAGUGGUAAGAAGAGGUAUCUUACUUUGUUUUAUGCUGCUAUAAUAAAAUACCACAGACUGGCUAAUUUAUGAAGGACAGAAAUUUGUUUCUCGCAGUAUUGAAGACUGGGAAGUCCAAGAUCAAAGCACCAGCAUCUUGUGUGGGUCUUGCUGCAUCCUCACAUAGUGGAAGGUGGAAGGAGAAGAGAGAGCAAAUCCACUCCCACAAACCCUUUUUAUAGGGUCAUUAAUUCAUUCAUGAUGGUGGAGCUCUCUCAUGACUAAACACCUACUCUAGAAUUGCUAUUGGAAUUUCUUUUUAUAUUUUCUAUCUAUGUAUUGAUAUUCUCUAUUUGUUUAUAUAUUAUAUUCUUGGUUCUCUCUAGUUCUUUGUUCUUGGUUUCCUUCAGCUCUUUGAGCAUAUUUAGGACAGGUGAUUUAAAGCCUUUUAUAUUAAGUCUGGGCUUCCUCAAGGAUGGUUUCUAUUAAUUUCUUUACUCCUGUUGGCUAGCCAUACUUUCCUGUUUCUUUGUAUGCCAUACAAUUUUUUUCUUAAAAAUGGGAUAUUUGGGCUGGGUAUGGUGGCUCACGCCUGCAAUCCCAGCACAUUGGGAGGCCAAGGCAGGCAGAUCACUUGAGGUCAGGAGUUCAAGACCAGUCAGGCCAACAUGGUGAAACCCGCCUCUACUAAAAAUACAAAAAUUAGCCAGGUGUGGUGGGGUGUGCCUGUAAUCCCAGCUAUAUGGGAGGCUGAGGUAAAGAGAAAGUAGGCUUGAACCUGGGAGGCGGAGGUUGCAGCGAGCCAAGAUCACACCAUUGGACUCCAGCCUGGGCAACAGAGUGAGACUCCAUCUCAAAAAUAUAUAAAUAAAUAAAAUAAAAUAAAAUAAAAUAAAGGGGGAUAUUUGGAAUAUUAUAAUGUGAAAAGCUGAUUCUCCCACCUCCCCAGUGUUUGCUGUUGUUGAUUGUAGGUGUUUGCCAUCAUCCAUUUGUUUAGUGACUUUUCCAAAUUAUAUUUGCAAAUACUAUAUUCCUUGUCUUGUGUGGUCACUGAAGUCUCUUCUCUUAUUUUAGCAGUCAGUUAUUUCACAGAGAUGUGCCUUAAUGGCUGGGGCCAAAAAGAAACCAAAACCAAAAAACUCUCCUAGUCUUUGCAGAUUGGAUCUGAGCUGAGGGAUUCCUUCAAUGCUUAGCCAGGCUAUCUAUGACUGUGACUUAGUCUUUACCUCCUACUUGCACAGAGUCCAAAAAUCAGCCAAAGGUGCAAGCCUAGGGUUCUAUCAUUCUUUUUUUAUGAGCAUGUUCCCAGCCUCAUGCAUGCAUAUUGCACUCUGGGUUCUCCAGUAUACGCAGUAGCCCUUCAAAACCAUUAAUUCCCAAGAAACUUCUGCCUCAGCUUUCUUCUUUCCAGAUGUUUGAUUCUAUAUACCACCCACCAGCUCCUGCCCCAUCCACCACACCUUGAUCCAGACAGCUAUGUGUAGUAUAUGUCUGAAUGCUUUUGACAGAUGUCACCUGGAAAGCCACUCUAGGCUGAAGGGGUUGUAAAAGAGCUUAUCCUAUGCACCAGUCCCUUAGGGAAUUGUCAGGUCAAAACUCAGAGCCAGGCCGGGCGUGGUGGCUCACGCCUGUAUUCCCAGCACUUUGGGAGGCUGAGGUGGGCGGAUCACGAGGCCAGGAGAUCGAGACCAUCCUGGCUAACACGGUGAAACCCCAUCUCUACUAAAAAUACAAAAAAAUUAGCCAAGUGUGGUGGCGGGUGCCUGUAGUCCCAGCUACUUGGGAGGCUAAGGCAGGAGAAUGGCAUGAACCCAGGAGGUGGAGGUUGCAGUGAGCUGAGAUGGCACCACUGCACUCCAGCCUGGGUGACAGAGCAAGAUACUGUCUCAAAAAAAAAAUAAAUAAAUAAAUAACUCAGAGCCAUAAUUUUUGGGAAACAUGGUUAUUGGCAUCAGAAAGCCACACUAGGAAUGCAGAUCCCUGUUCCCAUUGCUAUUGGUGACCUGGGAAAUGGAAUUGAUAAGAAAGGAAGCAAAAAAAUUUUUUUUCGUUAAGCACUUCACUGGUUGCCGCCAGUUUUGUAUUAGAAUCCAGAGUUUGAAAAAGUUGAUUCUGUCAGAUUUUGCCAGCUUAAUGGAUGCUUCAGUGGAGGGACUGGACUGAUUAUUGGAACUCCCUACUCCAUCAUUUAUGUGGCAUCACCUAACUGCUUUUGCUUGCCUUAGAACUUCCAGCACAGAUACGAAAAAAAAUGGUGAGAGAAGACAUCCUUGCCUUGUUCUUACAUGGAAGACAUUGAGUCUUUCACUGUUAGGUAUGUUAGCUAUAGUUAUUUUUAAGAAAAUCUUUAUCAAGUUUAGGAAAUUUCCCACUAUUGCUAGUUUUUUGAGAGUUCUUAUGAAUGCUAUGAAUUUUGUCAAAUGAUUUUCUGUAUUUAUUAGUAUAGUCAUGAUCAUAUGAUUUUUAAAAUAUAUAUUUUGAAAUUUCUUUUUUGUCUUUUAUCUUUGUUUUUAUGUUAUUCCAAUGAAUUUUUAAAAUUUCAAUAGCUUUGGGGGUACAAAUGGUUUUUGGUUGCAUAGAUGAAUUAUAUAGUGGUAAAGAAAGUCUGAGAUUUUAGUGCCCUUAUCACCUGAGUAGUGUACGUUGUACCCAAUAUGUAGAUUGUUAUUUCUCACCCUCCACUCCCCUCCUGCUUCUCAUUUUCCAUAGUCCAUUAUAUCACUCUGUAUGCCUUUAUGUACCCACUUAUACCAUACGUUGUCACUUACAAGCUUAGUUCUCACUUAUAAGUGACAACAUAUGAUAUUUUGUUUUUCAUUCCUGAGUUACUUCACUUAAAAUAAUGGCCACCAGCUCCAUCCAUGUUGUUGCAAAAGACAUUAAUUUGUUCUUCUUUGUGGCUGAGUAGUAUUCCAUGGUAUACAUAUACCACAUUUUCUUUAUCCGCUUAUUGGUCGAUGGGCGCUUAAGUUGGUUCCAUAUCUUUGCAACUGUGAAUUAUGCUGCAAUAAACAUACCUGUGCAGGUGUCCUUUUGAUAUAAUUACUUCUUUUCCUUUGAGUAGAUACCCAGUAGUGAGAUUGCUGGAUCAAAUGGUAGAUCUACUCUUAAUUUUUUUGGAAAUCUUCAAACUUUUCCAUAGAGAUGGUACUAAUUUGCAUUCCCACCUGCAGGGUAUGAAAGUGUUUUUUCACCACAUCCACACCAACAUAUAUUGUUGUUUAGCUUUUUAAAUAGCCGUUAUUGCAGGAGUAGGGUGGCUUUACUUUGCAUUUCCCUGAUGAUUAGUGAUGUUGAGCAUCUUUACAUACAUUUUUUGGCCAUUUGUAUAUCUUCUGUUGAGAAAUGUCUGUUCAUGUCAUUUGCCCACUUUUUGAUGGGAUGAUUUGUAGGUGUUUUUUUCCUGCUGAUUUGCUUGAGUUUUUUGUAGAUUCUGGAUAUUAGGCCAUUGUCAAAUGUAUGCUUUACAAAUAUUUUCUCCCAUUCUCUGGGUUGUCUGUUUACUCUGAUGAUUAUUUCUUUUGCUGC